rnacentral:rRNA from 1 species
GACGAACGCUGGCGGCGUGCUUAACACAUGCAAGUCGAACGGAAAGGCCCUGCUUUUGUGUGGUUCUCGAGUGGCGAACGGGUGAGUAACACGUGAGUAACCUUCCCUUGACUUUGGGAUAACUUCAGGAAACUGGGGCUAAUACCGGAUAGGAGCUCCUGCUGCAUGGUGGUGGUUGGAAAGUUUCGGCUGUUGGGGAUGGACUCGCGGCUUAUCAGCUUGUUGGUGGGGUAGUGGCUUACGAAGGGUUUGACGGGUAGCCUGCCUGAGAGGGUGAACGGGCACAUUGGGACUGAGAUACGGCCCAGACUCCAACGGGAGGCAGCAGGGGGAAAUAUUGCACAAUGGGCGGACGCCUGAUGCAGCAACGCCGCGUGCGGGAUGACGGCCUUCGGGUUGUAAACCGCAUUCGCCUGUGACGAAGCGUGAGUGACGGUAAUGGGUAAAGAAGCACCGGCUAACUACGUG